rnacentral:piRNA from 1 species
UUUAAAAGGGAAACUGUUGCCA